CGGACCGGCGCACGGGUGCGUAACGCGUAUGCAACCUACCUUUAACAGGGGGAUAACACUGAGAAAUUGGUACUAAUACCCCAUAAUAUCAUAGAAGGCAUCUUUUAUGGUUGAAAAUUCCGAUGGUUAGAGAUGGGCAUGCGUUGUAUUAGCUAGUUGGUGGGGUAACGGCUCACCAAGGCGACGAUACAUAGGGGGACUGAGAGGUUAGCCCCCCACACUGGUACUGAGACACGGACCAG
rnacentral:rRNA from 1 species